UACGGAGGGUGCGAACGUUAAUCGGAAUCACUGGGCGUAAAGCGCGCGUAGGCGGUCCGUUAAGCGGGAUGUGAAAUCCCCGGGCUUAACCUGGGAAUUGCAUUUCAAACUGGCGGACCAGAGUGCGGUAGAGGGAGGUAGAAUUUCCUGUGUAGCGGUGAAAUGCGUAGAUAUAGGAAGGGAUACCAGUGGCGAAGGCGGCCUCCUGGAUCGACACUGACGCUGAGGCGCGAAGGCGUGGGGAGCAAACAGG
rnacentral:rRNA from 1 species